rnacentral:rRNA from 1 species
UACGAAGGGGGCUAGCGUUGUUCGGAUUUACUGGGCGCAAAGCGCACGUAGGCGGAUCGUUAAGUCGGGGGUGAAAUCCUGGAGCUCAACUCCAGAACUGCCUUCGAUACUGGCGAUCUUGAGUCCGGAAGAGGUGAGUGGAACUCCUAGUGUAGAGGUGGAAUUCGUAGAUAUUAGGAAGAACACCAGUGGCGAAGGCGGCUCACUGGUCCGGUACUGACGCUGAGGUGCGAAAGCGUGGGGAGCAAACAGG